ACGAACGCUGGCGGCAGGCUUAACACAUGCAAGUCGAGCGCUCACCUUCGGGUGGGAGCGGCGGACGGGUUAGUAACGCGUGGGAACGUACCCUUUUCUAAGGAAUAGCCAUUGGAAACGAUGAGUAAUACCUUAUAAGCCCUUCGGGGGAAAGAUUUAUCGGUAAAGGAUCGGCCCGCGUUAGAUUAGAUAGUUGGUGAGGUAACGGCUCACCAAGUCUACGAUCUAUAGCUGGUUUUAGAGGAUGAUCAGCAACACUGGGACUGAGACACGGCCCAGACUCCUACGGGAGGCAGCAGUGGGGAAUCUUGGACAAUGGGCGCAAGCCUGAUCCAGCCAUGCCGCGUGUGUGAUGAAGGCCCUAGGGUCGUAAAGCACUUUCGCCAGAGAUGAUAAUGACAGUAUCUGGUAAAGAAACCCCGGCUAACUCCGUGCCAGCAGCCGCGGUAAUACGGAGGGGGUUAGCGUUGUUCGGAAUUACUGGGCGUAAAGCGUACGUAGGCGGAUCGGAAAGUAUAGGGUGAAAUCCCAGGGCUCAACCCUGGAACUGCCUUAUAAACUCCCGGUCUUGAGUUCGAGAGAGGUGAGUGGAAUUCCAAGUGUAGAGGUGAAAUUCGUAGAUAUUUGGAGGAACACCAGUGGCGAAGGCGGCUCACUGGCUCGAUACUGACGCUGAGGUACGAAAGUGUGGGGAGCAAACAGGAUUAGAUACCCUGGUAGUCCACACCGUAAACGAUGAAUGCCAGUCGUCGGAUAGCAUGCUAUUCCAGUGGCGCAGCUAACGCACUAAGUUUACCGCCUGGGGAGUACGGCCGCAAGGUUAAAACUCAAAGGAAUUGACGGGGACCCGCACAAGCGGUGGAGCAUGUGGUUUAAUUCGAUGCAACGCGCAGAACCUUACCAGCCCUUGACAUCCCGAUUGGGAGGAGCAGAGAUGCACCUCUUCAUUUAGUUUGGAUCGGUGACAGGUGCUGCAUGGCUGUCGUCAGCUCGUGUCGUGAGAUGUUGGGUUAAGUCCCGCAACGAGCGCAACCCCUGUUAUCAGUUGCCAUCAGUUCGGCUGGGCACUCUGAUGAGACUGCCGGUGAUAAGCCGGAGGAAGGCGGGGAUGACGUCAAGUCCUCAUGGCCCUUAUGGGCUGGGCUACACACGUGCUACAAUGGCAGAUACAAUGAGCAGCCAACCCGCGAGGGCGAGCUAAUCUUUAAAAUCUGUCUCAGUUCGGAUUGUUCUCUGCAACUCGAGAGCAUGAAGUCGGAAUCGCUAGUAAUCGUGGAUCAGCAUGCCACGGUGAAUACGUUCCCGGGUCUUGUACACACCGCCCGUCAC
rnacentral:rRNA from 1 species